UGAAUACGAGACGCUAAGGCGUCGAAGUAGUGUAUGUCAUACUUCCAAGAAAAGCUCGCACUGUCAUAGAUAAAAAACGCCUGUACCAUAACCGACACAGGUGGGUAGGUAGAGUAUACUAAGGGGCGCGAGAUAACUCUCUCUAAGGAGCUCGGCAAAAUAACUCCGUAACUUCGGGAGAAGGAGUGCCUUAUUCGUAAGGUUGCAAUAACAAGAUCCAAGCAACUGUUUAUCAAAAACACAGGUCUCCGCUAAGUCGUAAGACGAUGUAUGGGGGCUGACGCCUGCCCAGUGCCAGAAGGUUAAAGAAGUUGGUUAGCAAUUGCGAAGCUGAUAACUGAAGCCCUGGUGAACGGCGGCCGUAACUAUAACGGUCCUAAGGUAGCGAAAUUCCUUGUCGGGUAAGUUCCGACCCGCACGAAAGGCGUAAUGAUUUGGAUACUGUCUCGGAGAGGGGCUCGGUGAAAUAGACUUGUCUGUGAAGAUGCGGACUACCUGCACCAGGACAGAAAGACCCUAUGAAGCUUUACUGUAACUUGAAAUUGAAAUUGGACUUUAUUCGCGCAGUAUAGGUGGGAGGCGUUGAUUAUAAUCUUGUGGGAUUAUUGGAGCCAUCAGUGAGAUACCACUCUUGUAAUGUUAGAUUUCUAACUUUGAAUCAUUAUCUGGUCAAAGAACAGUUUCAGGCGGGCAGUUUGACUGGGGCGGUCGCCUCCUAAACGGUAACGGAGGCGUACAAAGGUUUCCUCUGAACGGUUAGAAAUCGUAUCUAGAGUGUAAAGGCAUAAGGAAGCUUGACUGUGAGACCUACAAGUCGAGCAGGGACGAAAGUCGGUCUUAGUGAUCUGACGGUACUGAGUGGAAAGGCCGUCACUCAACGGAUAAAAGUUACUCUAAGGAUAACAGGCUGAUCUCCCCCAAGAGUUCACAUCGACGGGGAGGUUUGGCACCUCGAUGUCGGCUCAUCGCAUCCUGGGGCGGUAGUACGUCCCAAGGGUUGGGCUGUUCGCCCAUGAAAGCGGUACGCGAGCUAGGUUCAGAACGUCGUGAGACAGUUCGGUCCAUAUCCGGUGUAGGCGUUAGAAUAUUGAGAGGAGCCUUCUUUAGUACGAGAGGACCGAGAAGGACAUACCUCUGGUGUACCAGUUAUCGUGCCAACGGUAAACGCUGGGUAGCUAUGUAUGGAGUGGAUAACCGCUGAAAGCAUCUAAGUGGGAAGCCCACCUCAAGAUAAGUAUUCUCC
rnacentral:rRNA from 1 species